GGGCCCUUAGCUCAGUUGGCUAGAGCGCUUCCAUGGCAUGGAAGAGGUCAUCGGUUCGAGCCCGAUAGGGUCCA
rnacentral:tRNA from 1 species